ensembl:lncRNA
GUUUGUUCAAAUGCUACUAUGUAACAAUAACGUAUCAGCCUCAUUGGCAGGUGUGACUCUGAUGUGUCUGGAGUGCAUUUGAAAAAAAUUGCAUUGCACAGAAUCCUCAAGUCAAUUUAGUACAUUUUAUUACUGUUCCACCAUUUAUACAAGUACAUAUAAUUUUGAAUGCAUCAAUUUCCAUAUCAUCUUUUUGUUUGUUUGUCUGAACGUGUGGUGUGGAAGUAGCAGUGAUGAAACAUGGGAUGAAAAUAUCAACUGUAGUUGCCAUGGAUGCAGACUGAAAAAUUAUUAUUUUUUCCACUUGACCAAAAAGACAGGACUACAGGUUCACCCAACCACGGACAUGCAAGUUACUGAGUCAAGAGAGGAAGAAAAAACUGAGCCAUGUGACAAGCGGCGCUCCUCGAGUGUUUGUUUCUGCUACGGUUUGACGAGUGCUGGGAGGAAAACGCUGAACGUCACAUGGAUGGAACUGAAAAGUGGCAGAUGGAUGGCUGAGAUGACUAAAUAUAUAUAUACAUAUACUUACAUACAUGCAAAGGUGGAAAGACGAAUGUUGGUUUGAAUAAGCCAAGCACAAUUUUGGGUUGCUGGUACCUUACUUGACUGUUUUGUGCAAAAGCAUUUAGCUCAAUAAAGUCGUACUACUUCGUCCACUGUGUUCAUCAUGAAGUACAAUCUAAAAUCUGAGCUUUCUUGUCCUUCACGUUCUUCCUUCCAUCUGUCCUGCUGGUUUUCUUUCACUGUCAUUUCUUCCUUUUUCAUCUCAUAUGAUAAUCAUCAAAAUGUUUCUACUGUAGUAUCAAUGAUAAAAAUCCCUCCUUUGUCUUUCCUGGGCCGGUGUAUUCUAUUUUCACUAGUUUGCACUGAGAGUGCUGCAUAACUGCACUGUGCUAAAGACACAAGCAGCAUGACGCACAUGCACACAGGUUAAGUACAAGACAGAGAUUUGGGUUACACUUAACCAGUGCAUUUAAAAGUGAUGCUAUGGGGUCUUUAAACGUCCACAUGGGGCAAGUUAGAACUGUCUCAGUAUCACCGUAAACCUGCACAUGUGUGAAUCUGAAUGGGCUGGUUUUUGCUGGUUGCUGAGAGUUUAAGGAUGCUCAGCUCUGUAAAACGCUGUAAUGUCACCUUAACUUUUUUAACCAGGUAAUUCAUUAGUAGCGGAGGAUGGGUGGAGUUAACACCAUGCCGAACAACCGCCACGUCCUACUCGCACAAGUGAUGAACACGACUGAAAAACCAAGAAUGGAGUCAAUACCACAACUGCUGCUUUCUAAGCAUCCAUCUCUGUGCAAGAUUACUCCCACUAAAAACCCUUAAAGGUCUCCAUACAUGCAAUUUGAGCCACACUGUGCAAUGUGGUUCUAAUACACUUGGGCAAGACGUCAUAUUUGAUGCAUACUGUUGUUGGCAUACCCACUGGAUCACGUGCCAUUUAUGUCUCUUCUACUUUCUUCUAUGCUACAUCGUCCUCCCCUCGUCCAUCGCAACUCAACCUAAGUCUCUCCUUUGCUGGAAUCCUAAAGUUUUGCUGUGGAAGUUUAGUCCCAAGCUAUUUUUGUUUGCAGGACUCCACUGCCAUGACCAAAGAUAUCAUGAUCCUUUCAAAGUCUCACACUGUUUACGGUUUUACACCAAAGUGUUUUGGCUUUUAAAAAAAGUUCCUCAAGCGGUGGAAGCUGGGUGUUUUCAAAAGUGUGCUUGGUGUUUACAGUAAAAAUAAAUUUGGGUGGAGACAUCUAUCAAUAUUGCUAGUUUUUAAUGUAUCAAAGGUGUACUUUAGUACUUUUCCUUCCACCACUGCACAGAUGUACAUACAUGUAACCUAUAUUUCCAAACAGUAAAGGAAAAUGCACGAAUGGCGAUAAUGACUAAAUCAGAGGCUCCCUUCCAUGUGCAAGGCCUUUCCUUCCAGCCUUAGAAACAUGGACCAUAUUACACUGAAUUGGUUGCUGAUGGCUCUGAUCGUUUGCUGAAAUCCUGCCUCCUGCCUGUUCUUCAGUGGUAUCAGACUGUUAGUGGUGGAAAGCUACACUGAUUCAAAACCCAGUAAAUCAGACCUGGGUCAAACAGCAUUGUGAGCGCUCUCGCUUAAGGCCUUUUCACUGCUUUGAUACCAAAAGGGUGAGGUUUGCUCAACAGGGCAGACUGCUUUAGUGCUGUAAGGUUUGCUCUGGUAGGGCCAUUAAACUUGAAUAUGAAACGGCUCUACUAGUUGGAUAGUGUCUUUUUUAACUGUUGAAAUUUCCGUGUCAGGAGAUUGUAUGUGAGCAUGUAACAAUUUUAUUUCAAAGUAAAAGAAUCCACUGUUGACUUUUUCAGAAACAUAUUGUGCUGCUAAUACUUGAAUCGAAAGUGUGUCUUGCAGUCAGUUUUACACCCUUUUACUUUCGCUAAGGAAAUGAUUUGUCUUCCAGACAAUCACAGGAUGUUUGAGUGCCAGUCUUGUCUAUUUAGGUUACAAAGGCACAACUGAGCAUUCACUAACUGAGCUCUACCCAUGAAGGAGCAAACAUCACCUUCUUGGUAUUUUAAGCAAGUUCAAACAACCUCUAAGAUGUGACCGUACUGUCUACUUCACCCAGGUCAGCAAAAGAUAUGUCUUUUCAAACAAACAAAAAAAACGUAUACGAUAAUUUUUACUCUAAUUUGUCUUCAGAUUUUGCUCGAGGACGAGAGGCUUGCAUUGAACUUUCUAAGAACAUUUUAGAGAUCUUUUCAGCGAGGCUUUGCAGAUUAUCUAAGCAAUACAAAUGUUAAAAAACCCACUUAGUUUACUAACAAUAUAGCUAAGGGUUUCAGUACAAAAUGUAGAAGUUUAUCUGAAAAAUCCUACAACUGUUUAAUGUCUAAUGUUGUUUUUUUCUCUGCAAAGCCCACCUUUACCAACCUUGCGAAAUGCCUUAGAAAGCCUGAAAAUUCCCAGUCCUCACAAUGAAUCUCCAAGUAAAAGCUCUUCAAAGAAAGUGGGAUCUUUUUAGAGAGAAAAAUAGGAAGCAACACAACCCGACAAUACCACACACAAUCACGCACGACCACAACCACGACUCCACAGCACUGAAAAGCUGGAGGUACCAGGCCAGAGCCAAAAUCACAAUAUUCUGACGAGGAGGAUGAGAGGAAGAGGGAGAGCCGAAGAGGGGACAGAUUCGACUUGAGUCCAGCUGCAGAUGGCGGUCUCCAGGAGGUCCCAGGGUCUCCGUGAAUCCGCGCCCUGAGAGCAGCAGUGAACCUGCCGGCCUGGCAGGUUCUGCGUUCCUGCCAUCCAAGAUGACACGUUAAAGGUUAAAGCUGUCACUGUCCGACGCCCUGUCCUGCUCGGACGCUCACUCUGCUGGGAAAUCAGCUUGACAGCAGAAAACAGGAAGAACUGCAGGAGCAC